GGGUUGUGAGGUUAAGCGACUAAGCGUACACGGUGGAUGCCCUGGCAGUCAGAGGCGAUGAAGGACGUGCUAAUCUGCGAUAAGCGUCGGUAAGGUGAUAUGAACCGUUAUAACCGGCGAUUUCCGAAUGGGGAAACCCAGUGUGAUUCGUCACACUAUCAUUAACUGAAUCCAUAGGUUAAUGAGGCGAACCGGGGGAACUGAAACAUCUAAGUACCCCGAGGAAAAGAAAUCAACCGAGAUUCCCCCAGUAGCGGCGAGCGAACGGGGAGGAGCCCAGAGCCUGAAUCAGUGUGUGUGUUAGUGGAAGCGUCUGGAAAGGCGCGCGAUACAGGGUGACAGCCCCGUACACAAAAAUGCACAUACUGUGAGCUCGAUGAGUAGGGCGGGACACGUGGUAUCCUGUCUGAAUAUGGGGGGACCAUCCUCCAAGGCUAAAUACUCCUGACUGACCGAUAGUGAACCAGUACCGUGAGGGAAAGGCGAAAAGAACCCCGGCGAGGGGAGUGAAAAAGAACCUGAAACCGUGUACGUACAAGCAGUGGGAGCCUCUUUAUGGGGUGACUGCGUACCUUUUGUAUAAUGGGUCAGCGACUUAUAUUCUGUAGCAAGGUUAACCGAAUAGGGGAGCCGAAGGGAAACCGAGUCUUAACUGGGCGUUAAGUUGCAGGGUAUAGACCCGAAACCCGGUGAUCUAGCCAUGGGCAGGUUGAAGGUUGGGUAACACUAACUGGAGGACCGAACCGACUAAUGUUGAAAAAUUAGCGGAUGACUUGUGGCUGGGGGUGAAAGGCCAAUCAAACCGGGAGAUAGCUGGUUCUCCCCGAAAGCUAUUUAGGUAGCGCCUCGUGAAUUCAUCUCCGGGGGUAGAGCACUGUUUCGGCAAGGGGGUCAUCCCGACUUACCAACCCGAUGCAAACUGCGAAUACCGGAGAAUGUUAUCACGGGAGACACACGGCGGGUGCUAACGUCCGUCGUGAAGAGGGAAACAACCCAGACCGCCAGCUAAGGUCCCAAAGUCAUGGUUAAGUGGGAAACGAUGUGGGAAGGCCCAGACAGCCAGGAUGUUGGCUUAGAAGCAGCCAUCAUUUAAAGAAAGCGUAAUAGCUCACUGGUCGAGUCGGCCUGCGCGGAAGAUGUAACGGGGCUAAACCAUGCACCGAAGCUGCGGCAGCGACGCUUAUGCGUUGUUGGGUAGGGGAGCGUUCUGUAAGCCUGCGAAGGUGUGCUGUGAGGCAUGCUGGAGGUAUCAGAAGUGCGAAUGCUGACAUAAGUAACGAUAAAGCGGGUGAAAAGCCCGCUCGCCGGAAGACCAAGGGUUCCUGUCCAACGUUAAUCGGGGCAGGGUGAGUCGACCCCUAAGGCGAGGCCGAAAGGCGUAGUCGAUGGGAAACAGGUUAAUAUUCCUGUACUUGGUGUUACUGCGAAGGGGGGACGGAGAAGGCUAUGUUGGCCGGGCGACGGUUGUCCCGGUUUAAGCGUGUAGGCUGGUUUUCCAGGCAAAUCCGGAAAAUCAAGGCUGAGGCGUGAUGACGAGGCACUACGGUGCUGAAGCAACAAAUGCCCUGCUUCCAGGAAAAGCCUCUAAGCAUCAGGUAACAACAAAUCGUACCCCAAACCGACACAGGUGGUCAGGUAGAGAAUACCAAGGCGCUUGAGAGAACUCGGGUGAAGGAACUAGGCAAAAUGGUGCCGUAACUUCGGGAGAAGGCACGCUGAUAUGUAGGUGAAGCGACUUGCUCGUGGAGCUGAAAUCAGUCGAAGAUACCAGCUGGCUGCAACUGUUUAUUAAAAACACAGCACUGUGCAAACACGAAAGUGGACGUAUACGGUGUGACGCCUGCCCGGUGCCGGAAGGUUAAUUGAUGGGGUUAGCGCAAGCGAAGCUCUUGAUCGAAGCCCCGGUAAACGGCGGCCGUAACUAUAACGGUCCUAAGGUAGCGAAAUUCCUUGUCGGGUAAGUUCCGACCUGCACGAAUGGCGUAAUGAUGGCCAGGCUGUCUCCACCCGAGACUCAGUGAAAUUGAACUCGCUGUGAAGAUGCAGUGUACCCGCGGCAAGACGGAAAGACCCCGUGAACCUUUACUAUAGCUUGACACUGAACAUUGAGCCUUGAUGUGUAGGAUAGGUGGGAGGCUUUGAAGUGUGGACGCCAGUCUGCAUGGAGCCGACCUUGAAAUACCACCCUUUAAUGUUUGAUGUUCUAACGUUGGCCCGUAAUCCGGGUUGCGGACAGUGUCUGGUGGGUAGUUUGACUGGGGCGGUCUCCUCCUAAAGAGUAACGGAGGAGCACGAAGGUUGGCUAAUCCUGGUCGGACAUCAGGAGGUUAGUGCAAUGGCAUAAGCCAGCUUGACUGCGAGCGUGACGGCGCGAGCAGGUGCGAAAGCAGGUCAUAGUGAUCCGGUGGUUCUGAAUGGAAGGGCCAUCGCUCAACGGAUAAAAGGUACUCCGGGGAUAACAGGCUGAUACCGCCCAAGAGUUCAUAUCGACGGCGGUGUUUGGCACCUCGAUGUCGGCUCAUCACAUCCUGGGGCUGAAGUAGGUCCCAAGGGUAUGGCUGUUCGCCAUUUAAAGUGGUACGCGAGCUGGGUUUAGAACGUCGUGAGACAGUUCGGUCCCUAUCUGCCGUGGGCGCUGGAGAACUGAGGGGGGCUGCUCCUAGUACGAGAGGACCGGAGUGGACGCAUCACUGGUGUUCGGGUUGUCAUGCCAAUGGCACUGCCCGGUAGCUAAAUGCGGAAGAGAUAAGUGCUGAAAGCAUCUAAGCACGAAACUUGCCCCGAGAUGAGUUCUCCCUGACCCUUUAAGGGUCCUGAAGGAACGUUGAAGACGACGACGUUGAUAGGCCGGGUGUGUAAGCGCAGCGAUGCGUUGAGCUAACCGGUACUAAUGAACCGUGAGGCUUAACCUUACAACGCCGAAG
rnacentral:rRNA from 1 species